rnacentral:lncRNA from 1 species
GAAGAAAUCCAAAUAUGAUUUCUCCUUUAUAUUCCCAUGAAUCCUGCCUGUCACCUCCAAACAAGAACCAUUUUCUCCUCCUGUUACACUCAAAGUCCACCAAUAUUUCUCUUACAAAAUUCAUUAUUUUCUACCUCUCAUGUACAUUAGGUCCUUCAUUUGUACAAUUUAUUUUUUUACACAUUUUACCAAGGCUGUACUUGAGUUUACAAGAAGAAAAUUUAGUCAGUCUUUCCUAAUAGUGUUCCUCACUUUCUAGAAGAAUUAAAGAUACCUAUGUGGGUUAAGUAAUGAUUUCUAACUGUGUAUCAGGCACUAUUCUAAGUACUUUACAUUGUUAGAGAGAAAAUAAUCUAAGACUACCAAAUAACAGUCUAAAACAAGACUGAAUUUCUUGCUUACCUUGUAAGGGAGAAUCUGGCACAUACUAAAGAAUCAAUAUAUAUUCACUAUUUUAUUCAUUGUUAUUGUAAUGGUUGUAGUGGUAGUUUUGAUGGUAUAGAUAGAAAAUUAAAGUUCUCCAACAAUACACAUUCAUAUCCUCAGAAAAAAGAGUGAAAUUCCAUUCUAAUUUAUGUGCAUUUGAGAGGACACCCCUGGCACCAAACUCCCAGGCAAAUGCCACCAUCUGUGUGAUUUCCUUCCAUUUGCCAAUGUAGGCACAGCAGGUACUAUUAGGUUAACCUUUUCUUUCACCAGCAUUCUCUCAAACUAGUAAACACUUUGGCUGUUGGAAAGCUCUAAUCCAAAACUGCAAAUUUAAAAAUGUUUCUCUUAUGGAACACAAUAACUGAAAUGUUAAUACAUCAUAUUAUUUCACAUUAUCGGAUUACAAAAUAUGGCUUAUAGACAUUACAAAAUGAAAGAUAAAAUGUUAUUUUGUUAACACUGACCAAUAGGUUUAUA